GCCCACUCUUGUUUUCUCCCUCAAGACCCCAAAACCAGUUACAUCGACAAACAACAAAACAGAGACGUUUCAACAUCGAUAACCAGCCUACAAUGACUCCAAAUAAAAUCGACCUCAACCCGGUCGUUAUAGCACUCACGUGGCCCUCACAUGAUGUUGGGUACGAAGGAAACCCGAGAAUAUUCUAGAACAAGCCUAGGUGUCUUCCCAAACCACGAAUCUCGGGUGCCAUGGUACGAUUUCGUAUAUAUUUGGUAGAUUUUCAUUGUUUCUUGAGGAGGAUUCAUUUUUCCCCAAUUUUAUUGGUCCACCCAUUUCAAAAAUUUUCAAGAAAAGUCGAAUUUAGUACAGGUUAUUGGCUGGGAAUUGGUUCCUCAACUUGAAUUUUGAAAAUAUCCCAUCUUUUUAACUCCCGAAAUUGCCUCCCGUUUUCAACUUUUUCCCACAUCGAUUGAGCACUGAAGGAGGAGCCUAAUCUGCUCCUAUAAAAGGGACUCAAAACUAGAAGAAUGGGUACGUCUCAGAGGGGUGAAAAAACCUUUGAGCAAAAGUAGUCCAUUUUUUAGUAAAAAAAAAAUAUUUGCUUUCGUGAAACUCACCGACUAACUGAAUUUUUCGAGUUGACGGUGGUGGCUGAUUUUGAUGUAGCUCAUAGUCUCGUCUCAUUUUGCUGCUCCGAAAGACCGUUUUAAUUUUUGUUGUUUUCUUUUUCAUCACCUUCUUCUUUAUAAUUUCGUUGUAAUAAUAUUAUUGUUUGCUGGGAAUUGCUCGUUGUAGAAGCCUUGAAAGGCAGUAGGAUUUUUCUUGAGAUGGUUGUUAUGUUGAAUCAAUGUUCAUGUUAUAAUCUGUGUUUCACUGCUGAUUUCAUAUUUGAGCUCACUUCCCCUGAGUUCAAUGUCUCGUAUUAGUAUUGUUGGGUAGUUAUUGAUCUAUAAUAGGAAUCAACAUAUGUUGUAGG
rnacentral:lncRNA from 1 species